GUGGGGAAUCUUGCGCAAUGGGCGAAAGCCUGACGCAGCAACGCCGCGUGUGUGAUGAAGGUCUUCGGAUCGUAAAGCACUGUCGGGAGGGACGAAUAAGGGCCGGGUGAACAAUCCGGUCCGAUGACGGUACCUCCAAAGGAAGCACCGGCUAACUCUGUGCCAGCAGCCGCGGUAAUACAGAGGGUGCAAGCGUUGUUCGGAAUUAUUGGGCGUAAAGCGCGUGUAGGCGGCUCUGCAAGUCGGAUGUGAAAGCCCUCGGCUUAACCGAGGAAGUGCGUUCGAUACUACGGAGCUUGAGUACCGGAGAGGGUGGCGGAAUUCCCGGUGUAGAGGUGAAAUUCGUAGAUAUCGGGAGGAACACCAGUGGCGAAGGCGGCCACCUGGACGGCUACUGACGCUGAGACGCGAAAGCGUGGGGAGCAAACAGGAUUAGAUACCCGGGUAGUCC
rnacentral:rRNA from 1 species